GUAAAAGUGAAUGAUGAAAUAUCCAUUUUAAAUUUUAAAUUUCAUUGUCAGACAAGUGGGUUAGAUGGGAGAAAAUGUAUCAGGUCAAUCAACGAGGCUGCACUUCAGGUACCCCAGUCAUCAAUGUCGACAUACUUUGUGAAGCAAGAUUCUAGUAAAUGGGAGUUUCUAGUGCCUGAUGAUCCUGCAGCCGUGGAGUCGAAUAGGUGGCCAAUUGGUUUUGUCACGAAUGGAUUUGUUCUAGGGAAGCAAGAAACCAGCUGCUGGGGCUCUGUGAUGCAGUGUUGCUUGCUCAUCUUAAAUACGAGCAGUGGAGUUCCGUACCUUUGAAGCGAAGGAAAAAGGAAAUAUACGUUCUAACAAGAAAUCUAAGAUCAACGACUUAUAGACUUGCCCUUGCAAGCGUUGUUCUCGAGCAUCAAGAAGAAGAUUUAGAUCACAUUUAAAUUUAUAUUUGUGAUUUUCUGGGUUUCUAUUUAUUCGAUUGGGGUUCUGUAUCUAUGUGAUUGGCUUCAAUUUGAUUUCCAAUUUUAAUUGUUGGGUUUUUGGUAGAGUAGAGAAAUUUAUUGAACAGACCAUGGACUAUUUCCCGAAAGAAUGCUGCAAAUAUGUUUCUAGUUAGAACUUAGAACACAUAGUAUAAUGAUUAAUGAGAUAAGCAAAUGCCUUA